rnacentral:rRNA from 1 species
CAAUAGCGUAUAUUUAAGUUGCUGCAGUUAAAAAGCUCGUAGUUGGAUUUCGGGUGGGAAUGGCCGGUCCGCCGUUUCGGUGUGCACUUGCUACGCCCACCUUGCUGCCGGGGACGUGCUCUUGAGUUCACGCUCGGGACACGGAGUCGGCGAGGUUACUUUGAGUAAAUUAGAGUGUUCAAAGCAGGCCUACGCUCUGAAUACAUUAGCAUGGAAUAACACGAUAGGACUCUGGCCUAUCUUGUUGGUCUGUAGGACCGGAGUAAUGAUUAAGAGGGACAGUCGGGGGCAUUCGUAUUUCAUUGUCAGAGGUGAAAUUCUUGGAUUUAUGAAAGACAAACUACUGCGAAAGCAUUUGCCAAGGAUGUUUUCAUUAA